GAGGUCUGUGAUGAUGCUAACACUUCUUUUUGAGUUUCACGACUAUGAGACAACCUUAUUACAUGCACUACCAUCUGAGACCAC
rfam:Alligator sinensis unplaced genomic scaffold scaffold647_2, whole genome shotgun sequence